AAGCACUACCUUUGAACCUGAUUGGCCUCUUACAGCUUCUCAGGCCAAGUAACAGUGCUAGACUGUAAGGGCUUGUUACGAUGGGCCUCUUCUGCUCUCAGCUGAGCUGCUCUCUUAAAAAGCAAGGAACAUCU